GGUUAAGCGACUAAGCGUACACGGUGGAUGCCCUGGCAGUCAGAGGCGAUGAAGGACGUGCUAAUCUGCGAUAAGCGUCGGUAAGGUGAUAUGAACCGUUAUAACCGGCGAUUUCCGAAUGGGGAAACCCAGUGUGUUUCGACACACUAUCAUUAACUGAAUCCAUAGGUUAAUGAGGCGAACCGGGGGAACUGAAACAUCUAAGUACCCCGAGGAAAAGAAAUCAACCGAGAUUCCCCCAGUAGCGGCGAGCGAACGGGGAGCAGCCCAGAGCCUGAAUCAGUGUGUGUGUUAGUGGAAGCGUCUGGAAAGGCGCGCGAUACAGGGUGACAGCCCCGUACACAAAAAUGCACAUAUUGUGAGCUCGAUGAGUAGGGCGGGACACGUGGUAUCCUGUCUGAAUAUGGGGGGACCAUCCUCCAAGGCUAAAUACUCCUGACUGACCGAUAGUGAACCAGUACCGUGAGGGAAAGGCGAAAAGAACCCCG
rnacentral:rRNA from 1 species